rnacentral:lncRNA from 1 species
CUGAGAACAAACAACAGGAAGACUUGAGUCCCAGGAAGUAGUCUGCGACACACUUGGAUAUUUCUAAUUUACAGAGCAAGGCAACAUCUCUGCUCCUGAUCCACUGUGAUUUGAUCUGCCACGCCACCGCGGAGACAGACGGAGCAACCCUUCAUUCCGGUCACACUCGCAGACUUUGCUGGGUCAGCCGCUGUGACUCAGUGUGCGCACCCCCGACCGGGCUGGCACAGGUGGGUGUGCACAUGCAUGCCAGCUUCCAGCAGCACAGCCGCCGCGAGGGGCCUCCUCGGGGGCCCAGGCCAGGGG